rnacentral:rRNA from 1 species
GAUGAACGCUGGCGGCGUGCCUAAUACAUGCAGGUAGAACGCUGAAGGAGGAGCUUGCUCUUCUGGAUGAGUUGCGAACGGGUGAGUAACGCGUAGGUAACCUGCCUGGUAGCGGGGGAUAACUAUUGGAAACGAUAGCUAAUACCGCAUGACAACAGUUAUUGCAUGAUAACUGUUUAAAAGGGGCAACUGCUCCACUACCAGAUGGACCUGCGUUGUAUUAGCUAGUUGGUGAGGUAACGGCUCACCAAGGCGACGAUACAUAGCCGACCUGAGAGGGUGAUCGGCCACACUGGGACGGGGACACGGCCCAGACUCCUGCGGGAGGCAGCAGUAGGGAAUCUUCGGCAAUGGACGGAAGUCUGACCGAGCGACGCCGCGUGAGUGAAGAAGGUUUUCGGAUCGUAAAGCUCUGUUGUAAGAGAAGAACGAGUGUGAGAGUGGAAAGUUCACACUGUGACGGUAUCUGACCAGAAAGGGACGGCUAACUACGUG